GCCUACGGGGGGCAGCAGUGAGGAAUAUUGGUCAAUGGUCGGGAGACUGAACCAGCCAAGCCGCGUGAGGGAUGAAGGUACAGAGUAUCGUAAACCUCUUUUGUCAGGGAACAAAGGCGGGGACGUGUCCCCGGAUGAGUGUACCUGAAGAAAAAGCAUCGGCUAACUACGUGCCAGCAGCCGCGGUAAUACGUAGGGGGCGAGCGUUAUCCGGAUUCACUGGGUGUAAAGGGAGCGUAGACGGCCAUGCAAGCCAGGGGUGAAAGCCCGGGGCCCAACCCCGGGACUGCCCUUGGAACUGCAUC
rnacentral:rRNA from 1 species